AAAUCGGUGACCGGUUGACGUCAUUUUUAUAUGAAAUAAAGUCAUUUUCCUAGUUGUGUUUGAAUGUAGCUAACCUUAAGUUGAGUGUGAAGUUAUGUGACUUAUAUUUAAAAAAAUAUAUAACUUAUAAAGUUAUAUAAUGGGUGACACAAUAAUAUUUUGCCUUUUGGUGACAAUUAUCGGCAAUGUAGCAAGCGUUUUAUAUUUCCACGAGAUAUCGCCAAAAUUGCUCAACCCGGAUGUCGAACCAGGGUGUGAUUUUGGAUUUUCAAUGGGUUUCCAGAAUACUAUACCUGCAAAGUUAAUUGUGGGUGCACCUCGAAAGGAUUUCAUCGGAAAAGUCUUCCAAUGUACCAUUAUAGAUAUUGAAGAAAAUAUAUCUUGUCGUCUAUUGAAUAUAGAUAUGGACAAAAUUGCCGCAUACACCCGAAACUUGUUUCUUGGCGGUGGCGGCUGGACCACUUUACUUGACAAGAACAAUGGACUAAUACUAGUCGCGAAGACAUCUUUUGCAGGCGACAUUGUUUAUGUUCCGUUAGAGAGCCCUUUGAAUGACUCCAAAUCGCUUAUAGAGCUGCUCGAUAGACGUGAUUUAUUAUAUACAAAAUGAGUACAUUUACAAAUGUUGGAAACGCUCUAGUUGCGGGUAAUUUUUUUUCAAACUCGACUAUAUACGCUUUUAGCAUGACUAUUGAAACCAUGGCGGGACAGGUUGGUUUCUUGGAAUACAAUAAAGAUAAACAAUUAUUAACAAUUAUGACAGAUAAAAAACAAAGGGAGCCAUUUGCUAUAGUAAAUAAAAAGGUUGGGUCUAUGUUUGCGGCUGCACUCGCUGCCGAAGAUCUCAAUAAAGAUGGAUAUUCAGAAUUAAUUGUAGGAGCUCCCGUACAAAAUGAUGGCGAUGAAACAUCUGAACAGGGUGCAGUUUAUAUUUAUAUAGGAGGCGAUAAGAAUACCAUAACGGAACCG